rnacentral:lncRNA from 1 species
CAGUUCAGUGCUACUUAAUCUGCAGAUACUUGCUGCAGUUUAUUCUUAGAAUACACUAAUGCUCUAGAGAAGCUCUCUGAGCUGAAGGUUAUGUAAGCACCCUUCUUUGUCAUUUAGAUCAGGAGGUCAGCUCCAAGCACACAUUUGAGACCACCACCAUGUUUCAGAAGGGAUGAACAUGAUCGAGAAAGUAAGUAUCAGUAAUUCUUCUUACCUCUUAGCAGAUUAGCUACAAGCUUGCAUUGUCCUUGGACCGGAGAAGCUUUGGGUGGCAUGUCUGAGGGGC